UGGGGGAUAUUGCACAAUGGGCGAAAGCCUGAUGCAGCGACGCCGCGUGGGGGAUGAAGGCCUUCGGGUUGUAAACUUCUUUUGCUCUGAACAAGGCAUGCCUUUGGGGUGUGUUGAGUGUAGGGGUUGAUUAGCGCCGGCUAACUACGUGCCAGCAGCCGCGGUAAUACGUAGGGCGCGAGCGUUGUCCGGAAUUAUUGGGCGUAAAGGGCUUGUAGGUGGCUGGUUGCGUCUGUCGUGAAAGCUCAUGGCUUAACUGUGGGUUUGCGGUGGGUACGGGCUGGCUUGAGUGCAGUAGGGGAGGCUGGAAUUUCUGGUGUAGCGGUGGAAUGCGCAGAUAUCAGGAGGAAUACCGGUGGCGAAGGCGGGUCUCUGGGCUGUUACUGACGCUGAGGAGCGAAAGCGUGGGGAGCGAACAGG
rnacentral:rRNA from 1 species